CUGAGCACAAAGGGAUUCGUCUGAACCAUGCGAACGGUUCCACAAUCACUGGGAGGUAAAAUAGCACUUAACUGUUCCCCUGGGUGGUCUGAUGUUCGGUAUUUUGGGUUGUAUGUUAUAGUAGCAAUAUUCACACGAACACCAGCCAUUCAGUUCUGUUUAACCCCUCCAGCAGCAUUGUUGAUUAAGUUCAGGCAAAAAUAUAGGCAUAAUUAUAGUUCUGUUACACUCUUCACUAACAAUCACUUUUGAUCUCAAAAAAGUAUUAGCAUAGUAUGUAACAAGGAAUGCAUAGCUAUCACAUUAACAUAUACUAAACAAGAAGAAUUGUGUACCGAUUGCCUUUCAGACAAACGUAAACAUUUAGAAGAUGUAAAUGUAUGCCUUUUUCA